AGUGAACGCUGGCGGUAGGCCUAACACAUGCAAGUCGAACGGCAGCACAGUAAGAGCUUGCUCUUACGGGUGGAGAGUGGCGGACGGGUGAGGAAUACAUCGGAAUCUACUUUUUCGUGGGGGAUAACGUAGGGAAACUUACGCUAAUACCGCAUACGACCUACGGGUGAAAGCAGGGGAUCUUCGGACCUUGCGCGAUUGAAUGAGCCGAUGUCGGAUUAGCUAGUUGGCGGGGUAAAGGCCCACCAAGGCGACGAUCCGUAGCUGGUCUGAGAGGAUGAUCAGCCACACUGGAACUGAGACACGGUCCAGACUCCUACGGGAGGCAGCAGUGGGGAAUAUUGGACAAUGGGCGCAAGCCUGAUCCAGCCAUACCGCGUGGGUGAAGAAGGCCUUCGGGUUGUAAAGCCCUUUUGUUGGGAAAGAAAAGCAGCAGGUUAAUACCCCGCUGUUCUGACGGUACCCAAAGAAUAAGCACCGGCUAACUUCGUG
rnacentral:rRNA from 1 species